AUUCUUUUUUCAUAAUAGGAAUGACUAAUUCCUGCCCUUCUACCAUGCUGGCUUGUUCAGCGGACCAAAUGAAAAACUGAGAAAACUGUUGUGUCUUCCCGUAGGAUGUUGGAGUGAAUCUACCAUGCAUGACUCAUGUUUCCAUCCCUAUCAUCCUGGGUAGGGAAGCACCAAGCUGAGGACUCUGGAUCCUUUCAGGCUCUAAUGACAAUGCACAUCCAGCAUUUGUGGACUACAAAUGGGGACAGCAAGAGAGAGAAAACCUGGGGAGAACGGAAGAAACCAUGCUUUGUAGAAUGGAUCCUGCUUCAGAAUUGCUGAUCUCAUCAACCACAUGUUUAUAGAGAGAGCAGUGGCCCUUAAGGAACUGGAGAGAAUGCUCUGAUUUACUUCUGUCCGGCAUGGUGAACAGCAGGAUUGGCUGUAGCUGUUCUCUUUGCCAAGGACAGAUCUGAUCUGAUUGCCUUGAGGUGAAAGUGAGGUAAGGUGGGGCGGGGAUUAGCUUUUGGCUCCCAAGAAUGGUUGUUCAUCAACCUUUUGCUAAGCCCGUGGUUCUCAAAUUUUGCUGCAUGUUAGAAUCACCUGGGAAGCUUUAAAAAAACAUCUCAGUACCCAGGUUGUACCUCAGACCAAUUAAAUCUGAAUGCCUGGGGGCGGUUGCCAGGCAUCAGAAGUUUUCAAAGACCUCCCCCAACCAGGUGGUUCCUGGACAUGUACCCACGUCCGGGAACCACUGUCCUCAGCAUUUAUUGUAUGAGGCAACUUAGGUGACACACA
rnacentral:lncRNA from 10 species